rnacentral:rRNA from 1 species
UCAGGCCUAACACAUGCAAGUCGAGGGGUAGGAGGCUUCGGCCUCUGAGACCGGCGCACGGGUGCGUAACGCGUAUGCAAUCUGCCUUGUACCGGGGGAUAGCCCAGAGAAAUUUGGAUUAACACCCCAUAGUAUUAUUAUCCGGCAUCGGGUGAUUAUUAAAGGUUACGGUACAAGAUGAGCAUGCGUCCCAUUAGCUAGUUGGUAUGGUAACGGCAUACCAAGGCAACGAUGGGUAGGGGUCCUGAGAGGGAGAUCCCCCACACUGGUACUGAGACACGGACCAGACUCCUACGGGAGGCAGCAGUGAGGAAUAUUGGUCAAUGGUCGGAAGACUGAAAGAGCCAUGCCGCGUGCAGGAUGAAGCAUCUAUGGUGUGAAGGUGCUUUUGUACGGGAAGAAACACCGGUUCGGAACCGGCUGAC